UGCAUCUCAGCUGAGAGUCACCAAAGAUCACUGAUCAGCCAUUGAUCUGUAAAUAAUAGAUCUAAGUUCAGGGUUUCUCACUGAUCGACCACUCAGUGAUUGAUCAGUCGGCGCAUGAUCGCUUCUUCGUCUUAAUCUUCAUCUUCAUCGGUGUGUACACUGAGGAAGAGAAGGACUGUUUCCUGCAACAUGACUGAAGGCAGCAGCGCUCUGCUCAGCAGGCUGCAGCAGCUGCAGUGUCACUUCACCUGGGAUCUGAAGAAGGACGUGGACCUGAAGAACCUCAGCACCCGACUACAGGACCACAUAGAACUGCAGCUCGGCCAGCGCGGGGCAGUGGCUCGAUCAUACAGCUUCUUGGCUUAUGUCAGGUAUCUUCAGGAUCAACAAGAGGAAGCGCUGUCACUUUUAAACCAAUCAGAGGAGACCAUCAGGGAGAGUUACGGUGAUGAGAGUGAGAGGCGGCUCAUUGUGACGUAUGGAGACAUGGCCUGGCUGAAAUAUCAUGUUGGAAACUUUGCACAGUCAAAAAGCUACUGUCAGAAAGUCGAGGACAUACUGGUGAAGUAUCCCACUGGUUCAUCAGGAAGUCUCCUUCCAGAGGUGUACGGAGAACAAGCCUGGACCUACCUCAAGUUGUCAAAAUCUUACUACUUAAAAGCCGUUGACAGUUUUCGUAAAGCACUUGAGAUACAGACUGAUGACACUGAGUGGAAUGCCGGCUACGCCAUCGCCCUCUUUCGCACAGAAGAGUGGGUUUUAGAAAACUUAGAGGAAAAUGAGGAGCCUCCAUCCAUCAAACAGCUUCACUUUGCCCUGGAGCUCAACCCCGAUGAUGCUGUUCUGCAGUCCAUGCUGGCUGUAAAGCUCGCAGCCUAUAAGAAAUACGAAGAGGCUGAGGGUCUGCUGAAGAAAGCACUGAAAACUGAUCCUGACAACCCUCAUGUCAGCCGCUACGUAGGAAAAUACUUUCGUAAUCAUCAUCGACUGGAUGAGUCUAUUGAUAUGUUGGAGCGAGCGUUGAAGAGGACCACCCAGUCAUCUUUCAUCCACCACCAGCUGGCGCUGUGCUACAUGAGGAAGAAGAUUGCUGAGCAGAGCCGCAAACACUUCAGCAGCCAAAGAGAGGUGCGGUACUGGAGGCGUUGUUGUAUUCGUGAAUUUGAAAAGGCCGUUAAGAUAAAGCCGACCUUUCAUCUUGCAUGGGCUGACCUGGCACUGCUGUAUGCAGAGGAAAGGAAUUUCAGAAGGGCAGAGGAGAUUUUCCAGCAGUGCUUGUUGAAGUUACCAGAGUGUGAUGAAAGCCUUUCUCAAGCUAUCCAUCAGCGCUAUGGUGACUUUCAUUACCAUCACAAAAGAAAUGAAGCUCAAGCCAUCGUUCACUACACCAAGGGUCUCCUGAUACCACUGAAGAAAUAUGAGAAGAAAGUCUGUGCUAAGAAACUCAAGCAGAUCGCUGAGAAACGUCUGUCAAAGAAUCCAGGUGAUGGUGAAGCUCUCGCUCUGCUGGGUCAGGUGGCCAGAGCUGAGGGCAACAGGAAGGAAGCUGCUGAGUUUUAUGAGAAAGCUCUGAACUGUGACAAGGACAAUGAAGAGUACCUGUCUGCUCUGUGCGAGUUUCGUCUGCAGCUGCAGGGAUCAUCCUCUGAUUAAUUAUGAUUGCUGCACUCCUGUUACAUCAUACUUCAGCCCGCUGAAUGUGGAUUUGAUCCAUGUGCUUUCAGAACUGCACAACCUUAACAAAUGAGCCCUUCAUACCUUUCUGUUAGGUAUUAAAUUAUAAUCAAUGAAGCGUCACAGGGACACUUUUAUGGGAUAUUUAAUGCAUGUGCAGUGGUGGGCGGACCUCUGUCAGCAGCACCUGAAAAAACUGUUUAAAAAUGGUGUUUAGUGAAGUCUUGACCAUCAAAGUCACGCCCAUGCUGAAGACUCAGAUUAUGUCCAGGUCUCUGCUCAGAUACACUUUUAUAUAUUAAUUUAAACUGUUACAAAGAAACCCAUUUCUUUUGAUUUUAAUAAAAAUGAAGCCAGCAGGGUUCAAAUUUGAGUAAGCGGGUCAAAUUGAUUUAUUACUUUUACCUGUAGAUUAACACAAAUUCUCAGAUCAGUUUUCAGUUUCACAGGAACGUUGUUUGAUUAUAUUUUCUGUGUUGUUAACGUGUCUGUAAUGUUUGUUAUAUGCUUGUAACAGCAGGUCAGUGCUAGCAUCACAAGCAGCUGUGGGAUGUGAUGUCAUCAUAAAAAAGAGAUUUCAGGGU